rnacentral:rRNA from 1 species
GAUGAACGCUGGCGGCGUGCCUAAUACAUGCAAGUCGAGCGAACGGACGAGAAGCUUGCUUUUCUGAUGUUAGCGGCGGACGGGUGAGUAACACGUGGAUAACCUACCUAUAAGACUGGGAUAACUUCGGGAAACCGGAGCUAAUACCGGAUAAUAUUUUGAACCGCAUGGUUCAAAAGUGAAAGACGGUCUUGCUGUCACUUAUAGAUGGAUCCGCGCUGCAUUAGCUAGUUGGUAAGGUAACGGCUUACCAAGGCAACGAUGCAUAGCCGACCUGAGAGGGUGAUCGGCCACACUGGAACUGAGACACGGUCCAGACUCCUACGGGAGGCAGCAGUAGGGAAUCUUACGCAAUGGGCGAAAGCCUGACGGAGCAACGCCGCGUGAGUGAUGAAGGUCUUCGGAUCGUAAAACUCUGUUAUUAGGGAAGAACAUAUGUGUAAGUAACUGUGCACAUCUUGACGGUACCUAAUCAGAAAGCCACGGCUAACUACGUG